rnacentral:rRNA from 1 species
AAUCUAAUGGCUUAACCAUUAAACUGCUUGGGAAACUGAUAGUCUAGAGUGAGGGAGAGGCAGAUGGAAUUGGUGGUGUAGGGGUAAAAUCCGUAGAUAUCACCAAGAAUACCCAUUGCGAAGGCGAUCUGCUGGAACUCAACUGACGCUAAGGCGCGAAAGCGUGGGGAGCAAACAGGAUUAGAUACCCUGGUAGUCCACGCCCUAAACGAUGUACACUAGUUGUUGGGGUGCUAGUCAUCUCAGUAAUGCAGCUAACGCAUUAAGUGUACCGCCUGGGGAGUACGGUCGCAAGAUUAAAACUCAAAGGAAUAGACGGGGACCCGCACAAGCGGUGGAGCAUGUGGUUUAAUUCGAAGAUACGCGAAGAACCUUACCUGGGCUUGAUAUCCUAAGAACCUUUUAGAGAUAAGAGGGUGCUAGCUUGCUAGAACUUAGAGACAGGUGCUGCACGGCUGUCGUCAGCUCGUGUCGUGAGAUGUUGGGUUAAGUCCCGCAACGAGCGCAACCCACGUAUUUAGUUGCUAACGGUUAGGCCGAGCACUCUAAAUAGACUGCCUUCGUAAGGAGGAGGAAGGUGUGGACGACGUCAAGUCAUCAUGGCCCUUAUGCCCAGGGCGACACACGUGCUACAAUGGCAUAUACAAUGAGACGCAAUACCGCGAGGUGGAGCAAAUCUAUAAAAUAUGUCCCAGUUCGGAUUGUUCUCUGCAACUCGAGAGCAUGAAGCCGGAAUCGCUAGUAAUCGUAGAUCAGCCAUGCUACGGUGAAUACGUUCCCGGGUCUUGUACUCACCGCCCGUCACACCAUGGGAGUUGAUUUCACUCGAAGCCGGAAUACUAAACUAGUUACCGUCCACAGUGGAAUCAGCGACUGGGGUGAAGUCGUAACAAGGUAACCGUAGGAGAACCUGCGGUUGGAUCACCUCCUUUCUA